rnacentral:rRNA from 1 species
GUGAGAAUAGCUACAGGGAUACACCUAGUUACAUUCCGAACCUAGAAGUUAAGCCUGUAAACGCUGAAAGUACUUGGUUGGAGACGACCUGGGAGGAUAGG